GGGCUGGGGCGCGGGGAGGU
rnacentral:miRNA from 1 species